rnacentral:rRNA from 1 species
ACCCGUGCAUCAAANUAGACAGGGCUACCUCGUGCUACAAUGGACGGUACAAAGAGCUGCAAGACCGCGAGUGGNAGCUAAUCUCAUAAAACCGUUCUCAGUUCGGAUUGUAGGCUGCAACUCGCCUACAUGAAGCUGGAAUCGCUAGUAAUCGCGGAUCAGCAUGCCGCGGUGAAUACGUUCCCGGGCCUUGUACACACCGCCCGUCACACCACGAGAGUUUGUAACACCCGAAGUCGGUGGGGUAACCUUUUUGGAGCCAGCCGCCUAAGGUGGGACAGAUGAUUGGGGUGAAGUCGUAACAAGUUAGCCGUAUCGGAAGGUGCGGUUGAAUCACCUCUUAA